CGGCAAACAGGCUUCCCUUCCGAUGGCGGCUGCAGUCAGUUGGGGUGCUGGUGGGGGUGCCAGCUUCCGUGGCAGUAAGCUGGCCCCAGAGCCGUUUAGAGCUGGCCCGGAAGCCAGGUGGACGCCGGGGAUGCCGUCGGAGGAAACCAUUUCAACAAACCCCCCAAUUUAUUCGAGCUGUGUUUCCUCUGAAAAAGAAACCUGUGCUUGGGAGUCAGAUACUUGAGCUUGAAUCACAAC